rnacentral:lncRNA from 1 species
ACCUUUCCUCUGCUUAGAAAGCAAAGGUAGAAGGUUUGGUUUGAGAAGAAGGGGAGGGAAGGGACGGGGCUUAAAGCAACACGAUGGAUUUCCGAGACGGUGUUAAAAUGGGGACGCACGAUAGGAAAUGCUUGCGGUUCCUUGGUGAACUUCCGGUCGCGUCGUGAGCUUUUUAGAAGAAUGCGGAAUUGAUAUUCCCCUGUACACCACGGAGCUCACAGACGCCUGCACGUCGAUGCCAUCUUUGCAGCGACUAUAACGAAGGCCACCGCCACUGCCUGUGAAGCCCUGAGGCCAGGGCAGCUGAUGUUUCCCAGCCCCUGAGCCACAUGACCAAAUGCAACGGAGCCGCCUCGUUGGUUCAUUAGGGAAGAAGGCGCAGCUUACACACAAGAGGCCUCAAAAUCAAAGGUCGCCGGGGUCAGACAAGUGUGCAGUGGCUUGAUGUGGGAUCUCAGUUCCAGAAGAGAGAUUAAACACGGGCUGUAGCUGCGAAGGCACUGAAUCCUAACCACCACACCACCAGGGAACUCCCAGCAAUAACCUUUCUCGAUGCCAGUGCUAAAGUGUGAAAUGGUUUCGGUUUCCUGCACCUACGCUGCACAGACUCCGCAGAGGUUUAUAUAAACCUCAGAUGCUCCUGUGGAGCCAUGAGAAACACUGUUUGAAGGCUCGAGAAACACUCACCUCCAGCUCACCCCGCAAGCCCCCAGCCCAGAGGGUGAAGUUUCUAAGCACUGAAUCCAAGCACAAAGUCCGACCGGGUCAACUGUCUUCUUUAAGGUCUGGCCACGGAGUCCUGCCACUGUCAGGGCUCAGCCCGAGAGCUUUAACCUGAGGAAAAAUGCAGCCAGAUGACCACAGCCCUCGUGUUCUCCAGCAGCGUAUGGUGUGCGGACAGAUGACCUUCCGCCUAGGUCUGCUCCUCUGGCCCAGCCCUGUACCCCACCCAGGCCACGCACAGACCUCCCCUCUCUUCCCGAAUGUCCUGCUCACCUCCAGCAUCACUUCCGCCACUGCUCCUCACCCGGACGGAUGCAGAAGGCGCCCAAGGAUCCCGCCCCCCCACCCUCAAAGACUGGCUCACACCCUUGAAACCUUCCACGGCGCCCCAUUUCUUGGGACACAGUGGAUUGCCUGGUGAUCCCUGGGUGCCCAGGACCCUCGAUUGUGCUGGGCUCUCAUCACUGCCUCAGCCCCACCAAGCCCAGUUCUGCACGUCGCAGGACUGGGUCAGUGUCCUGGAGGUGAUGGUGCUCUCAGAUGCUCCCGUACUUCCCACUGGACAGCCCAAAGACCCUUCCCUGUCCUGGGGUCUGGGGCUCUCCCGUCUCCGGAGGGCUGGUUUUUUCCCUCUGAAUAGGUGCUGAGCACAAGUCCCACACCUUGGAAUCACAAAGGGCGGGGUCAACAGAGCUGGAAGAGGUGAUCCUUCUGGUAAAAUCCAUGGGUUCUUCCCCUUUCCCCACCCCCGCCCCAGGUUCCCUCUCACUUAGGAGCUGACCUGCAGCCCUGGAUUUUCAGGAACCAUCUGAAAAAAAAAAAAAAAACGCAUCCUGGAAAGACUGGCCUUGUUCAGCAUAAUACACUUUAUUCUCACAAUGGAAAGUGAGAUUCUUUACAAUGUUGGCUAAGAAUCCCACAUAUGCAUGUGCGCACACACGUGCGCAAACACACACACACACACACACACGCCUAUUCAAUAAGGCAGAGCCAGCUCCCAAGUCUGUUUUACAUUUGACAACCAAGAAAAGGAGUUAGAUCUUCAAAAAUAUUUGUGUAAAGUCCCCUAGAAUCAUUGUUUCAUGCUGAUUUUGCUUCCCAGAGCCCAGGGCAGGCCGAACUUGAACAGAAGGAACCCUCAGCCCACGUGCAGACAGCGUGUUCGCAGAGAAGACAGCGGGUCGCCGGUCGCUGGUCUCCGGAGGGCAGCUUGGAGGCAGAGCUGUGUCGGAAGGAAGCAGCGAUGAGGCAGUUCCAGCCUCCCCCGUCCUUUGGCUGCAUGUGGCCUUUCACUUUCGUCCCCCCAACCCCCAACAUGCUGGCUGUGUGGAGGCCCAGAUGCAGGCUGGGACUGGACGGGGGCUGUGGUGCAUUUUGACUCCUUGAGGAGCGUGUGACAUGCCCUCGACACGGGGGAGCGAGCCCAGCCCUGAGCCCUGGUCCUGGGUCCUGGGAGAAUCGUUUCCCAGCAACUUUCCCCCAAUCAGGUGGUUCCCAAGAUCAGACCGACCUUGUCAGACAGGCCACGGUGGGAAAUAUACUUCACUUGCCGUCCCAGACGUGUUCUGGAGGGAAAAGCAGAGCUGGGACACACUUCGCAGGUGACACUGGUAGAGAAGCAACAGGUUCCUUGAGCCGUUAGUGAAAUCCGCAGGCCCUGGAACAAGGCUGGGGUCACGGCUGCGCUGGGAGCCCCUGCAGGGAUGGUCCCCCGGCGGCCGUCACAUCAGCAACACGGGAAGAGGCUUCAGCCUCUCAGAAGUAGCACAAAACAAGAAGGAAUUGCAGUUAAAUCUGUCAAAUUAACAUAUUUAAAAAACUGUCAUCUUUGAUCCUAUUGGGGAUACGGUGCACUAGAAUCAGAGAUUGCUGACGGCACGUAAAUUCACCCGGCUCCUUGGGGAAAUAAUUUGACGGCAUAUAAAAAUAAACAGAAAAGUCCUACCAACCUUAGACAUGAGAUAUGUAGCUUCCGGGAACCUCCUGCAAGGAAGGCGUCGCACGACCAGCAAGACCAGAAACAGGCGGAUUCAAAGAAGUCCGCGAGAGAAAGCCGCCUUUGAAAUUCCUUUUCAUCCAAAGCAGCGCCGAAUCCCACCUUUGAGGGCUCUGCACGGUGGUGUUAAUAACAGGGCCCGCGUGGGCACCAACACUGCCCAUUGGGUGGCAGCUCUAUUAUUGGGCAUGAAUGUCCGAGCAUAACAAAGUGGCUUUGGCUCUUUCUGGGGGCAGGGGGUGGGGUGAGGUGUGAAGCUGCCGCGGUGCCCAGGUGAGGCUGGGAUCUCGGGGAAGCAGCUGUGCACGGGCCCCGCCUGUGGGUGACCCGCAGGCUCUCUCGGGGCCAUUGCUUCUCUCCCCAGCUCGGCGUCCACGCUUGGAUCCAGGGCUCACUGACACAGGCGUGCUGCCAAAGAUGCCAGAGAGUUCCCUGUCGACUUGAGGAAGGCCUGAGAUGUUCUCACCGGCCCACAGGGUCACAAGAGCAGUGGACAUGUGGUCUUCCUGCCUGUGUGGCGAGCCAGAGCCACGGAGGCUGAGCCUGCCCCAGACUCAGGGGGGGACAGUGGGAGCUUGGCCCCGGAACCCUGGCGGGGAAGCGAGGCAUCCAUGCAGCACACAGGGGCACCCUUGCCCUGGCGGCUGUCAACUGUAACCUGGCACUUAGAGCCUCUCUUUCCUGCCACAAAGCCGCAUGAAGUGUCUGCCGUGGCAUCACUUCCACGGCGACGGUGGCUCAGCUCCUUAGCUGCACGGAGUGAAGGCCUCGUCUCUGGCCUGAGCUGCACAGAGGGAGCCGCCCCUGAUGUGUGCAGGGCUCCUUCAUAGCCUGUUUCCCGGCCACAUCUAGUUGUUUAGGCUGGGCGAUUACGUUUCCUUCUGGGUGAAAUGGGUUCAUGAUUUUUAUUCCCCGCAUAUGGGAGAUGGGCCGUCUCUAGGAACAGAGGGGAUAUUCAAGGAGGGGGGGUACCGUUAUGGGAAAGAAGCUGCGACGGGGGAGCAGGUGGGCUUGGACGUAGCCCCCUGUCCAUUCUCACACCUCCCCAGCCAGAGGAGCCCCUCGGAUGGCAAACCGUUUGAUCUCUUUGUUGCCUUGAGUCCUCUCCAACCUUCAAUUUCUCCCCAUGGGAGUUUGGCAAGGGAGAACCUCCAGUCUGAGCCCAGGCAGCCAGGCAGAGAGCCGGCUCACACUGGGGCCUCUUUGUCUGCUCAGGGAAUGCCCACGCCCGUCCGCCACCUUAUCAGACACGUGCACAAGCCCCGAGGGGAGCUGCUGCACCCCACUUUAUGGAAGAGGAGGCGAGACAUCCCCCAAGAUCACACGGUGAAUCUGUGCAGCCCUGGCUUAGAACAUCUGCACGAUUUUCACGCCUCCCUUUGGGCCGGAUCGCAGGCAGGUCACGUGUCGGGGGCUCAUUCCUGAAGGAGUCUGGUUAAACAUUGCUUUCAAGUUUGUUCUCUCUUUGCCUUCGAAACUCGCAGCUUUUAUAACCCCCCCGACCCUCUUCCAGCAAGACUGGGUGGUCAUGAUGGAGUUCGUUCCAAAGCGUUUUUGAGAAGCAGCUGUUUAUUAAAAUGCCAACAGCAGUGAUUAGUUUUGGAUGCUCUGCCAUGCAUCUGUUUGCUGCCUGACGACAUCCCUGGUUCAAGCUGGAAUCUGCCGCCGCCAGUUCUGCCAGGGCACCCUCCCCACCCCAUGUCGUUUCCAUGAGAUGCGUGUACUUUGUCCGAGGGAGAUCUGCAAGUCCGAUGUCCAUUUGGCAUUGUUGCAGAUGUAACUGGCACUUCUUGAAGGAAAAAAAAAAAGGCGAAGGAACCUGGAGGUCCACAGUUUGGAAUCUCUAAAGGGGACAGCUGUUCGCCGAGGUUCCCGAAGUGGUGAUGGAUGCCCGGCGCCCUCAAUCACAUCUGUACGGGGACGGAGGAGGGACGGGCUGGGAACUCUGGUGGAAAGACAUCUGUCGGCAGCCAAACGUGGAUCCAAGUCCGUGCAGCAGAGUAUGCAAAACAGCAUCUGAUGGUGGCUCUUUCUGUGGUUUCUUUCUUUUUUUUUUUUUUUUCUGAGGAGGGAGGCAGAAGCACGCAUUUUUCAUCUCAGUGGGGAAGUAGGAGACACUGGCGCCUUGACCUCACGUCUCCAAACCCUGAGGUGUUGGAAACAGUGCUUAACAGACCUUGUGCUUGGUCAGCCCGCGGACUGGCAAACCCAUGAAACGAGGUUCCGAAUGGAACACACACCUGUCCGCAGACGGCCGGGGCCGAGCUCCUUGGAGAAGGACGGUGUGGCGGAGAGGGUCUGGGGGUGGGGGUAAGCUGUGCACCCAGACAUUGGUCGGCGGAACUGACUUGUGGUCAGUCCGCUUGCCACAGGAAUGCUUUGCAGCGAGACGGAACCCUGGAAACGGAACAUAAUUCACUUUACUGAAUUCAGUUCGCCAGGGUAUUGAUUGGGUGCAUCACCUGUGUGUUAAAUGCGUUUCUAUUAACUGCUAAUAAAACGUGUAGCAAUUCCAGUUGCUACUGGUU